rnacentral:tRNA from 1 species
AGGCACGUAGCUCAGUUGGUUAGAGCACCACCUUGACAUGGUCGGGGUCGUUGGUUCGAGUCCAAUCGCGCCUACCA